rnacentral:pre_miRNA from 1 species
AUCAAUGCUGUUAUUUUUACACUUCAUUUUCUAUAUUUUUAAUUUCCUCUACACCUCUCUUUUAUUGGAGAAAAAAGAGAAUAGAAAAAAAAGUGGAUUUCUCUACUUCUUUUCAAUCAAAGGGAGUUGUAGGGGAA